UUUGGAUUGUCUUACCAAAGACAUUAUCACUGGAAAAUAGACUUCAUUUUGUGGAAACUCCGAUUUUGUGGUAAGUAAAUAGACUUUAUUAAACCAUAAUUUUUGUAUCAUCUUUAUUUGACUUUUCAAGAGCUUGUAUUUUGCAAGGAACUUCACUUUGUAGUCGUUAUUUAUACAAGGUAAAUCAUGCUAAUCUUUUAGCCUUGUAGAGUUCUUAUAUAUACUGUUUUGCAUAUGUUUUCUUGGAGGCUCUCAUAUGCUUUUAUUGUUUGUCAGAGUCACCAUGCUUUUUGCAUAAUAUGCUGGAUAUGGUUUUGGCUCUUGGAGGGUGAGUUCAUGAUUGGAGAAGAAGGCUAAGUAUAUAUUCAAGCGAUGAAAGAAGUAGAUGCAUUGUAAGCCGGUAGCAAUUAUCAAUUACUUUUGAUUAUGUGGAUCAAUGUGACGACAAGCUGGAUGCUGGUUUUAGUACCUCAAUGUACUGAUCAUCUAUCAUGGGGGCAAAUACUAGUUGUGUCGUUAUUUUUUUGACUUUUAUAACUAUCUUUUCUACUCUCCGACAAUCGCAGGGAGGUAAAGGAAGCUCCUUUGCCCUCACUUCUCUCAUUGUGCACGGUGAACUUGUUGCUUCUGGAUUAAGUGAGCUUGAAUUUGGUGGAGACAUUAUGGGGAUUGAGUUAUAUGGUGAUCUUGAAUUGUUCUUGCUCCAUCACAGUGUUUUGCUUCUGUGAAAUUAACGUAGUUUUAUUUGCACAAAAUGUUCGCUGCUUUGCUUUAGUGAGCUUAAUGGAGAUUGGUUGUGCCUACUGCCUAGUGGUCAAUUUGGCUAAUUUCUCCCGGUCAUAUGAUUGAGGAAAGCUUGCGAUUUUGAUUUCAAAACUGAUUAGGAGCAAUGAACAAGCAAUAACGUUCAUUCAAACGUGUUUGAUUGGUGUGAGAAAUUCUUC
rnacentral:lncRNA from 1 species